GACGAACGCUGGCGGCGUGCUUAACACAUGCAAGUCGAACGGAAAGGCCCUGCUUUUGUGGGGUGCUCGAGUGGCGAACGGGUGAGUAACACGUGAGUAACCUGCCCUUGACUUUGGGAUAACUUCAGGAAACUGGGGCUAAUACCGGAUAGGAGCUCCUGCUGCAUGGUGGGGGUUGGAAAGUUUCGGCGGUUGGGGAUGGACUCGCGGCUUAUCAGCUUGUUGGUGGGGUAGUGGCUUACCAAGGCUUUGACGGGUAGCCGGCCUGGGAGGGUGACCUGCCACAUUGGGACUGAGAUACGGCCCAGACUCCUACGGGAGGCAGCAGUGGGGAAUAUUGCACAAUGGGCGGAAGCCUGAUGCAGCAACGCCGCGUGCGGGAUGACGGCCUUCGGGUUGUAAACCGCUUUCGCCUGUGACGAAGCGUGAGUGACGGUAAUGGGUAAAGAAGCACCGGCUAACUACGUG
rnacentral:rRNA from 1 species